GAUCAUGGCUCAGGAUGAACGCUAGCGAUAGGCUUAACACAUGCAAGUCGAGGGGCAGCGAGAUGUAGCAAUACGUCGUCGGCGACCGGCGAAUGGGUGAGUAACACGUAUGCAACUUACCUCUUAGUGGUGAAUAACCCGAUGAAAGUCGGACUAAUACACCAUAUACUCCUUAGAUCCCAUGAGAAGAGGAGGAAAGAUUAAUCGCUAAGAGAUGGGCCUGCGUUCCA
rnacentral:rRNA from 1 species